ensembl:rRNA 5S_rRNA 5S ribosomal RNA
GCUUACGGCCAUACCACCCUGAGCACGCCCGAUCUCGUCUGAUCUCGGAAGCUAAGCAGGGUUGGGCUUGGUUAGUACUCGGAUGGUGUAGACUGCCUGGGAAUACCAGGUGCUGUAAGCU